GGGCUGGGCUGGGCUGGGCUGGACAGUGGAGCAGGAAACCCGGGAUCCUGCAGGCCU
rnacentral:miRNA from 1 species